AUUUUACUUAACGGUCUGUAUAAGUAUAAUAAUUUUUAAAUAUUACAGUUGUUAUGAAUUCAAUUUAUGUGAAACAUUUUAUUCAAGUCACACAGUUUGUAGGAUUGUCCACGGGUUCUCGAAAACAAUAUUAUGUUCAAAUUAAAAUUUGAACAUGAUAAAUACAUGAACAUUGAUAAUACACACCACAGUUGAUUCCCUGGAGAUUUG